rnacentral:rRNA from 1 species
GAUGAACGCUGGCUACAGGCUUAACACAUGCAAGUCGAGGGGAAACGCCGGGGACGCUUGCUUCUCCGGGCGUCGACCGGCGCACGGGUGACUAACGCGUAUCCAACCUGCCUCUGACUGAGGGAUAACCCGUCGAAAGUCGGCCUCAUACCUCAUGGCAUCGUCUGCGGGCAUCCAACGACGAUUAAAGAUUUCAUCGGUCAGGGAUGGGGAUGCGUCUGAUUUGCUUGUUGGCGGGGUAACGGCCCACCAAGGCUACGAUCAGUAGGGGUUCUGAGAGGAAGGUCCCCCGCAGUGGAACCGAGGCACGGACCAAACUGCGACGGGAGGCAAGAGUAAGGAAUACAAGUCGAGGAGCGGUAGCCUGAACCAGCCAAGUAGCGUGCAGGAGGACGGCCCUAGGGGUUGUAUACUGCUUGUGUACGAGGAAAGAGUGAGGGACGUGUCCCUCAUUGAAGGUACCGCAUGAAUAAGGACCGGCUAAUUCCGUG